rnacentral:lncRNA from 1 species
GGCCAGUAAUUUGUGCUGCUUUUCGCUGUUCUCUUCCGCUUUUAGAUGUUCAAAUGGUGCUUGCAACCAUCUUUGCAGCUGCAGUGAAACUUUGUCUAGAUUGAAAUAAGAUCUAAAGAUGAGAGUUUAGAUCCCGAUGUAAAUGUUUCAUUAUCUCAAUAAAACGGGAGGGAUAUGCCCUCUUUUCGUUAUCUACUGGUGUUUAGGCAGACACCGCAGACCAUCAAGUCAAUGCUUCAACCCGAACUUCCAAACUUUCUCCACCCAACACUGUCUUGGACUACUGAUAAACCCUCGGUGAAACCCAAUUGAUUCUUGUUGACUGAUUUCUUCAUCCUUUUCGCUGCAGAUAAAUAGUGGUCAUGGAUUCUUGUAGGGACAUGAUCCUCCAAACUCUUGGCAUUGAAGAGAGUGUUGGAGAUAAUUAUGGAGAUCAUCAUGGAGAUAAUCACGAAGGAGCAAAACAUGGAAAUACAAAUCAUGACAGAAUAUUAUACAGCUAAAAUUAUGGUGUCUUUAUAUGGACUGUACAACAAUAGAAUAAUCAUGAAGGAACAAAAUAUGGAAAUACAUCAUGACAGAAUAUCAU